GUGCUCGCGUCAGCAGCAUAUAUACUAAAAUUGGAACAAUACAGAGAUUAACAUGGCCCCUGCACAAGAAUGACAUGCACAUUCAUGAAAUAUUUCAUAUUAAA